UUAAGUUAGAAAGGGCGCACGGUGGAUGCCUUGGCACUAGGAGCCGAUGAAGGACGGGACGAACACCGAUAUGCUUCGGGGAGCUGUAAGCAAGCUUUGAUCCGGAGAUUUCCGAAUGGGGAAACCCACCACUCGUAAUGGAGUGGUAUCCAUAUCUGAAUACAUAGGAUAUGAGAAGGCAGACCCGGGGAACUGAAACAUCUAAGUACCCGGAGGAAGAGAAAGCAAAUGCGAUUCCCUGAGUAGCGGCGAGCGAAACGGGACCAGCCCAAACCAAGAGGCUUGCCUCUUGGGGUUGUAGGACACUCUGUACGGAGUUACAAAGGAACGAGGUAGAUGAAGAGGUCUGGAAAGGCCCGCCAUAGGAGGUAACAGCCCUGUAGUCAAAACUUCGUUCUCUCCUGAGUGGAUCCUGAGUACGGCGGAACACGUGAAAUUCCGUCGGAAUCCGGGAGGACCAUCUCCCAAGGCUAAAUACUCCCUAGUGACCGAUAGUGAACCAGUACCGUGAGGGAAAGGUGAAAAGCACCCCGGAAGGGGAGUGAAAGAGAUCCUGAAACCGUGUGCCUACAAGUAGUCAGAGCCCGUUAACGGGUGAUGGCGUGCCUUUUGUAGAAUGAACCGGCGAGUUACGAUCCCGUGCAAGGUUAAGCAGAAGAUGCGGAGCCGCAGCGAAAGCGAGUCUGAAUAGGGCGAAUUGAGUACGUGGUCGUAGACCCGAAACCAGGUGAUCUACCCAUGUCCAGGGUGAAGUUCAGGUAACACUGAAUGGAGGCCCGAACCCACGCACGUUGAAAAGUGCGGGGAUGAGGUGUGGGUAGGGGUGAAAUGCCAAUCGAACCUGGAGAUAGCUGGUUCUCUCCGAAAUAGCUUUAGGGCUAGCCUCAAGGUAAGAGUCUCGGAGGUAGAGCACUGAUUGGACUAGGGGCCCCUACCGGGUUACCGAAUUCAGUCAAACUCCGAAUGCCGAUGACUUAUCCUUGGGAGUCAGACUGCGAGUGAUAAGAUCCGUAGUCGAAAGGGAAACAGCCCAGACCGCCAGCUAAGGUCCCAAAGUAUACGUUAAGUGGAAAAGGAUGUGGAGUUGCUUAGACAACCAGGAUGUUGGCUUAGAAGCAGCCACCAUUUAAAGAGUGCGUAAUAGCUCACUGGUCGAGUGACUCUGCGCCGAAAAUGUACCGGGGCUAAACGUAUCACCGAAGCUGCGGACUGUUCUUCGAACAGUGGUAGGAGAGCGUUCUAAGGGCUGUGAAGCAAGACCGGAAGGACUUGUGGAGCGCUUAGAAGUGAGAAUGCCGGUAUGAGUAGCGAAAGAGGGGUGAGAAUCCCCUCCACCGAAUGCCUAAGGUUUCCUGAGGAAGGCUCGUCCGCUCAGGGUUAGUCGGGACCUAAGCCGAGGCCGAAAGGCGUAGGCGAUGGAUAACAGGUUGAUAUUCCUGUACCACCUCCUCACCAUUUGAGCAAUGGGGGGACGCAGGAGGAUAGGGUAAGCGCGGUAUUGGAUAUCCGCGUCCAAGCAGUUAGGCUGGGAAAUAGGCAAAUCCGUUUCCCGUGAAGGCUGAGCUGUGAUGGCGAGCGAAUUAUAGUAGCGAAGUUCCUGAUUCCACACUGCCAAGAAAAGCCUCUAGCGAGGUGAGAGGUGCCCGUACCGCAAACCGACACAGGUAGGCGAGGAGAGAAUCCUAAGGUGAUCGAGAGAACUCUCGUUAAGGAACUCGGCAAAAUGACCCCGUAACUUCGGGAGAAGGGGUGCUCUGUUAGGGUGCAAGCCCGAGAGAGCCGCAGUGAAUAGGCCCAGGCGACUGUUUAGCAAAAACACAGGUCUCUGCGAAGCCGUAAGGCGAAGUAUAGGGGCUGACGCCUGCCCGGUGCUGGAAGGUUAAGAGGAGCGCUUAGCGUAAGCGAAGGUGCGAAUUGAAGCCCCAGUAAACGGCGGCCGUAACUAUAACGGUCCUAAGGUAGCGAAAUUCCUUGUCGGGUAAGUUCCGACCCGCACGAAAGGCGCAACGAUCUGGGCACUGUCUCAACGAGAGACUCGGUGAAAUUAUAGUACCUGUGAAGAUGCAGGUUACCCGCGACAGGACGGAAAGACCCCGUGGAGCUUUACUGCAGCCUGAUAUUGAAUGUUGGUACAGCUUGUACAGGAUAGGUAGGAGCCUUGGAAACCGGAGCGCCAGCUUCGGUGGAGGCAUCGGUGGGAUACUACCCUGGCUGUAUUGACCUUCUAACCCGCCGCCCUUAUCGGGCGGGGAGACAGUGUCAGGUGGGCAGUUUGACUGGGGCGGUCGCCUCCUAAAAGGUAACGGAGGCGCCCAAAGGUUCCCUCAGAAUGGUUGGAAAUCAUUCGCAGAGUGUAAAGGCACAAGGGAGCUUGACUGCGAGACCUACAAGUCGAGCAGGGACGAAAGUCGGGCUUAGUGAUCCGGUGGUUCCGCAUGGAAGGGCCAUCGCUCAACGGAUAAAAGCUACCCCGGGGAUAACAGGCUUAUCUCCCCCAAGAGUCCACAUCGACGGGGAGGUUUGGCACCUCGAUGUCGGCUCAUCGCAUCCUGGGGCUGUAGUCGGUCCCAAGGGUUGGGCUGUUCGCCCAUUAAAGCGGUACGCGAGCUGGGUUCAGAACGUCGUGAGACAGUUCGGUCCCUAUCCGUCGCGGGCGCAGGAAAUUUGAGAGGAGCUGUCCUUAGUACGAGAGGACCGGGAUGGACGCACCGCUGGUGUACCAGUUGUUCUGCCAAGGGCAUCGCUGGGUAGCUAUGUGCGGACGGGAUAAGUGCUGAAAGCAUCUAAGCAUGAAGCCCCCCUCAAGAUGAGAUUUCCCAUUCCGCAAGGAAGUAAGAUCCCUGAAAGAUGAUCAGGUUGAUAGGUCUGAGGUGGAAGUGUGGCGACACAUGGGAGCUGACAGAUACUAAUCGAUCGAGGACUUAACCAA
rnacentral:rRNA from 1 species